AGGAUUAACGCUGGCGGCGUGCCUAACACAUGCAAGUCGAACGAGGUAGCAAUACCUAGUGGCAGACGGGUGAGUAGCGCGUGGUCAACCUACCGUUGAGUGGGGGAUAACUAGCCGAAAGGUUAGCUAAUACCGCAUACGUCUCCGAGGGGCAUCCCUUGGUGAUAAAAGGAGCAAUCCGCUCGAUGACGGGACCGCGUCCCAUUAGCUAGUUGGUGGGGUAACGGCCUACCAAGGCAUCGAUGGGUAGCUGGUUUGAGAGAGCGACCAGCCACACUGGGACUGAGAUACGGCCCAGACUCCUACGGGAGGCAGCAGUGAGGAAUUUUCCGCAAUGGGCGAAAGCCUGACGGAGCGACGCCGCGUGUGGGAAGAAGGCCUUCGGGUCGUAACCACUGUCGAAGGGAAGAUAAUGACGGUACCCUUGGAGGAAGCCCCGGCUAACUACGUGCCAGCAGCCGC
rnacentral:rRNA from 1 species